UAGGAUAUUUUCAUGUUUUAAGUUAACAAGAACCGAGUUUUUGAAAGAAAAGAACCAAGGCAGAAAAGCCAGGUUCGGCCGCCGAACAUGCAUGGCUUUCGGUUUCACGAUAGGCCGCCGAAGGUGGUCUGGCCAGCCACCUAUAAAAGGCCCUCAGUCAGUUGAACGGAUAAGUACUGCCGUUUCUUUCACUUUCUGAGGUG
rnacentral:lncRNA from 1 species